rnacentral:rRNA from 1 species
UACGUAGGGGGCAAGCGUUGUCCGGAAUCAUUGGGCGUAAAGAGCGUGUAGGCGGCUCGGUAAGUCCGCUGUAAAAGUCCAGGGCUCAACCCUGGAAAGCCGGUGGAAACUGUCGAGCUAGAGUCCGGAAGAGGCGAGUGGAAUUCCUGGUGUAGCGGUGAAAUGCGCAGAUAUCAAGAGGAACACCAGUGGCGAAGGCGAGUCCCUGGACAACUUCUGACGCUGAGGCACGAAAGCUAGGGGAGCAAACAGG